CAACAGAGAGAAGCAAAACCGCGAGGUGGAGCAAAACUUCAAAAAUGGUCUCAGUUCGGACUGUAGGCUGCAACUCGCCUACACGAAGUUGGAAUUGCUAGUAAUCGUGGAUCAGCAUGCCACGGUGAAUACGUUCCCGGGUCUUGUACACACCGCCCGUCACACCAUGGGAGUCGGUAACACCCGAAGCCAGUAGUCUAACCGCAAGGAGGACGCUGCCGAAGGUGGGAUUGACGACUGGGGUGAAGUCGUAACAAGGUACC
rnacentral:rRNA from 1 species